UGCCGCGUGCAGGAAGACUGCCCUAUGGGUUGUAAACUGCUUUUACAGAGGAAGAACCCUCCCCACGUGUGGGGAGUUGACGGUACUCUGCGAAUAAGGAUCGGCUAACUCCGUGCCAGCAGCCGCGGUAAUACGGAGGAUCCAAGCGUUAUCCGGAAUCAUUGGGUUUAAAGGGUCCGUAGGCGGGUUUAUAAGUCAGUGGUGAAAGUCUGCAGCUUAACUGUAGAACUGCCAUUGAUACUGUAGAUCUUGAAUCAUUAUGAAGUGGUUAGAAUGUGUAGUGUAGCGGUGAAAUGCAUAGAUAUUACACAGAAUACCGAUUGCGAAGGCAGAUCACUAAUAAUGCAUUGACGCUGAUGGACGAAAGCGUAGGUAGCGAACAGGAUUAGAUACCCUGGUAGUCUACGCCGUAAACGAUGGUUACUAGCUGUCCGGCCUAAUUGAGGGCUGGGUGGUUAAGCGAAAGUGAUAAGUAACCCACCUGGGGAGUACGUUCGCAAGAAUGAAACUCAAAGGAAUUGACGGGGGCCCGCACAAGCGGUGGAGCAUGUGGUUUAAUUCGAUGAUACGCGAGGAACCUUACCAGGGCUUAAAUGCAGUCUGACGUAUCUGGAAACAGAUAUUUCUUCGGACAGAUUGCAAGGUGCUGCAUGGUUGUCGUCAGCUCGUGCCGUGAGGUGUCAGGUUAAGUCCUAUAACGAGCGCAACCCCUGUGGUUAGUUGCCAGCACGUAAUGGUGGGAACUCUAGCCAGACUGCCGGUGCAAACCG
rnacentral:rRNA from 1 species